rnacentral:tRNA from 1 species
UCCCCUUCGUCUAGAGGCCUAGGACACCGCCCUUUCACGGCGGUAACAGGGGUUCGAAUCCCCUAGGGGACGC